GCAUGAUGGUUCAGUUGUAGAAUUCUUACCUUCCAUGUGGGAGACCCGGGUUCAAUACCCGGCCAAUGUA
rnacentral:tRNA from 1 species